AUACGGAAGGCAGUAGGGAAUAUUGGACAAUGGGCGCAAGCCUGAUCCAGCCAUCCCGCGUGAAGGAUUAAGGCCCUCUGGGUUGUAAACUUCUUUUUUGGGGGAAUAAAAACCGGAAUUCAUUCUGGCUUGAAGGUACCCCAAGAAUAAGCACCGGCUAACUCCGUGCCAGCAGCCGCGGUAAUACGGAGGGUGCAAGCGUUAUCCGGAUUCACUGGGUUUAAAGGGUGCGUAGGUGGCUUUGUAAGUCAGUGGUGAAAUCUCGGAGCUUAACUCCGAAACUGCCAUUGAUACUGCUUAGCUUGAAUCAAGUAGAGGUGGAUGGAAUAUUACAUGUAGCGGUGAAAUGCUUAGAUAUGUAAUAGAACACCGAUUGCGAAGGCAGUUCACUAUGCUUGUAUUGACACUGAGGCACGAAAGCGUGGGGAUCAAACAGGAUUAGAUACCCCCGU
rnacentral:rRNA from 1 species